UACGUAGGGUGCGAGCGUUAAUCGGAAUUACUGGGCGUAAAGCGUGCGCAGGCGGUUCGUUGUGUCGGUGGUGAAAUCCCCGGGCUUAACCUGGGAAUGGCCAUGGAAACUGGCGAACUGGAGUGUGGCAGAGGGGGGUGGAAUUCCGCGUGUAGCAGUGAAAUGCGUAGAGAUGCGGAGGAACACCGAUGGCGAAGGCAGCCCCCUGGGCUAGCACUGACGCUCAGGCACGAAAGCUAGGGUAGCAAACGGG
rnacentral:rRNA from 1 species